GGCUCAGAACGAACGCUGGCUUCAGGCCUAACACAUGCAAGUCGAGCGCCGUAGCAAUACGGAGCGGCAGACGGGAGAGUAACACGUGGGAACGUGCCCUUCAGUUCGGAACAACCCAGGGAAACUUGGGCUAAUACCGGAUACGUCCGUAAGGAGAAAGAUUUAUCGCUGAAGGAUCGGCCCGCGUCUGAUUAGCUUGUUGGUGAGGUAACGGCUCACCAAGGCGACGAUCAGUAGCUGGUCUGAGAGGAUGAUCAGCCUCACUGGGACUGAGACACGGCCCAGACUCCUACGGGAGGCAGCAGUGGG
rnacentral:rRNA from 2 species